rnacentral:rRNA from 1 species
UACGGAGGGUGCAAACGUUGCUCGGAAUCAUUGGGCGUAAAGCGCACGUAGGCGGACUGUUAAGUCGGGUGUGAAAUCCCUCAGCUUAACUGAGGAAGUGCAUUCGAAACUGGCAGUCUUGAGUAUGGAAGAGGGUCGCGGAAUUCCCGGUGUAGAGGUGAAAUUCGUAGAUAUGGGGAGGAACACCGGUGGCGAAGGCGGCCACCUGGACGGUAACUGACGCUGAGACGCGAAAGCGUGGGGAGCAAACAGG